rfam:Bacillus sp. KCTC 13219 scaffold2.1, whole genome shotgun sequence.
ACAAAGUGUAGGGAGGCUAAAACCGCCGCGUCCUGCGGCAACGCCUCUAUGACCAACAUCCUAUGGG